rnacentral:rRNA from 1 species
AUGAACGCUGGCGGCGUGCCUAAUACAUGCAAGUCGAGCGAACAGACGAGGAGCUUGCUCCUCUGACGUUAGCGGCGGACGGGUGAGUAACACGUGGAUAACCUACCUAUAAGACUGGGAUAACUUCGGGAAACCGGAGCUAAUACCGGAUAAUAUAUUGAACCGCAUGGUUCAAUAGUGAAAGACGGUUUUGCUGUCACUUAUAGAUGGAUCCGCGCCGCAUUAGCUAGUUGGUAAGGUAACGGCUUACCAAGGCAACGAUGCGUAGCCGACCUGAGAGGGUGAUCGGCCACACUGGAACUGAGACACGGUCCAGACUCCUACGGGAGGCAGCAGUAGGGAAGCUUCCGCAAUGGGCGAAAGCCUGACGGAGCAACGCCGCGUGAGUGAUGAAGGUCUUCGGAUCGUAAAACUCUGUUAUUAGGGAAGAACAAAUGUGUAAGUAACUAUGCACGUCUUGACGGUACCUAAUCAGAAAGCCACGGCUAACUACGUG